UAACGUAGGUGAAGCUCCUAUCUUGGGU
rnacentral:sRNA from 1 species